rnacentral:rRNA from 1 species
CCCUUAGAUGUUCUGGGCCGCACACGCGCUACACUGAAGGAGGCAGCGUGUACUCCUGGAUCGAAAGAUUUGGGUAACCCGCGAAUCUCCUUCGUGCUAGGGAUUGAGGUUUGCAAUUAUCCUUCAUGAACGAGGAAUUCCCAGUAAGUGCAAGUCAUAAGCUUACGCUGACUACGUCCCUGCCCUUUGUACACACCGCCCGUCGCUACUACCGAUUGAAUGAUUUAGUGAGGACUUCGGACUGGGACCGAUGCGGCUUUCGGGCUGCGUCGGUAUUCUGGAAAGAUGUCCAAACUGUAUCAUUUAGAGGAAGUAAAANUCGUAACA